AGGCCAGUGACAUCACAAGCAUUAACCCACUUUAUCCUCCUGAUCCAGUAAAGCAGGUAUUCCUAGUUCUGGUUCAUAAAAGAAGAAAGUCAGCUAAUAGGAGUCAAGGAACUUGCCAAAGGUUAAAGUGUGGGUGGGACCAUUCCUCCUUUGCCUGACUUCCAAGAAAUGCCUUUGUAUGUUUCACCUCCUCCAUAGCUGCUUCAGGAAUAUUGCAGGAAACCCCAGGAAGGGUACAUCCAGAAGAAAGGUGGAAGAAGGAGAAGAAGGUGAGGUAAGGGCACCAGUGGGGUGUGUGGCAUGAGCCUUGGACAGAAAUGAGGUUGGGAAGUGGGAGAAAGCCACAGCAAGGACUGGGAUGGGA
rnacentral:lncRNA from 1 species